AUUGAACGCUGGCGGCAUGCUUUACACAUGCAAGUCGAACGGUAACAGGCCUUCGGGUGCUGACGAGUGGCGAACGGGUGAGUAAUGCAUCGGAACGUACCCAGAGUAGGGGGAUAACGCAGCGAAAGCUGUGCUAAUACCGCAUGUGACGUGUGGAUGAAAGCGGGGGACCGAGCAGCAAUGUUUGACCUCGCGCCUUUGCAGCGGCCGAUGUCGGUUUAGAUAGUUGGUGGGGUCAAGGUCUACCAAGACGACGAUCCGUAGCUGGUCUGUGAGUACGACCAGCGACACUGGUACUUGUGCACGGACCAGACUCCUACGGUAGGCAGCAGUGGGGAAUUUUGGACAAUGGGCGCAAUCCUGAUCCAGCAAUGCCACGUGCGGGAAGAAGGCCGUCGGGUUGUAAACCGCGUUUGGAAGGAACGAAACGGUGUCCGCUAAUACCGUGCGCUAAUGGCGGUACCUGCAGAAUGAGCACCGGCUAACUACGUG
rnacentral:rRNA from 1 species